rnacentral:rRNA from 1 species
AUUGAACGCUGGCGGCAUGCCUUACACAUGCAAGUCGAACGGUAGAGUAGCAAUACUUGAGAGUGGCGAACGGGUGAGUAAUAUAUCGGAACGUGCCCAGUCGUGGGGGAUAACGUAGAGAAAUUUACGCUAAUACCGCAUACGAUCUAAGGAUGAAAGCGGGGGAUUCGCAAGAACCUCGCGCGAUUGGAGCGGCUGAUAUCAGAUUAGGUAGUUGGUGAGGUAAAGGCUCACCAAGCCGACGAUCUGUAGCUGGUCUGAGAGGACGACCAGCCACACUGGGACUGAGACACGGCCCAGACUCCUACGGGAGGCAGCAGUGGGGAAUUUUGGACAAUGGGCGCAAGCCUGAUCCAGCAAUGCCGCGUGCAGGAUGAAGGCCUUCGGGUU